CCUACGGGUGGCAGCAGUGAGGAAUAUUGGUCAAUGGACGAGAGUCUGAACCAGCCAAGUAGCGUGAAGGAUGACUGCCCUAUGGGUUGUAAACUUCUUUUAUAUGGGAAUAAAAUGUUCCACGUGUGGGCUUUUGUAUGUACCAUAUGAAUAAGGAUCGGCUAACUCCGUGCCAGCAGCCGCGGUAAUACGGAGGAUCCGAGCGUUAUCCGGAUUUAUUGGGUUUAAAGGGAGCGUAGGUGGAUUGUUAAGUCAGUUGUGAAAGUGUGCGGCUCAACCGUAAAAUUGCAGUUGAAACUGGCAGUCUUGAGUACAGUAGAGGUGGGCGGAAUGCGUGGUGUAGCGGUGAAAUGCUUAGAUAUCACGAAGAACUCCGAUUGCGAAGGCAGCUCACUGGACUGCAACUGACACUGAGGCUCGAAAGUGUGGGUAUCAAACAGGAUUAGAUACCCUUGUAGUC
rnacentral:rRNA from 1 species